GGGGAAUAUUGGGCAAUGGGCGAAAGCCUGACCCAGCAACGCCGCGUGAGGGAAGAAGGGUUUCGGCUCGUAAACCUCUGUCCUAUGGGACGAAGGAAGUGACGGUACCAUAGGAGGAAGCCCCGGCUAACUACGUGCCAGCAGCCGCGGUAAUACGUAGGGGGCGAGCGUUGUCCGGAAUGAUUGGGCGUAAAGGGCGCGUAGGCGGCCUGCUAAGUCUGAAGUGAAAGUCCUGCUUUCAAGGUGGGAAGUGCUUUGGAUACUGGUGGGCUGGAGUGCAGGAGAGGAAAGCGGAAUUACCGGUGUAGCGGUGAAAUGCGUAGAGAUCGGUAGGAACACCAGUGGCGAAGGCGGCUUUCUGGACUGAAACUGACGCUGAGGCGCGAAAGCGUGGGGAGCAAAC
rnacentral:rRNA from 1 species